rnacentral:lncRNA from 1 species
GGCCGCCGCUGGUUGCAGCCUCCCCCUUCUUCCCGCGCUUCCAGAAGCAGCCUCGUGGGAGGCGCCGUCUUCCUCAGAAGCACCUUCUCUAAACCCCUGGUCCCAGCAGCAUCCGGGUAGCAGCGCUCCCGCCUCCACAGGUGGAUGGAAACGAGACCAAGAGAAAAAAAUAAGCAACUUAAUAACCUACUUUUACCCAGAGAAUGGAAAAUAAAAUGCAAGAUUCCAAACCCUGCCCUUUCAUUGCAUCUUCAUCUUUGGAAAAUACAGGAAGAAGUGGGCUGUUUUGGCUUCCUACCAUGGAUGAGGAUCUCGAAGGAGAAAGUUGGCAGACCUUCUCCAUUCCCUGGGGCUUCGGCAAGGCAGUAGAGGAUGAAGGAGCGCACAUCUGCCA